rnacentral:rRNA from 1 species
GAUCUUUAUUUUUUUUAUAUAUAAAUUAAUAAGAUUAUAAAAAUUUAUAUAAAAAAAAAAAUUUUAUUGGGGUGAUAUUAAAAUUUGAAUAACUUUUAAAAUUAAUAACAUUAAUAUAUGAAUUUAUGAUCCAAUUUUAUUGAUUAAAAAAUUAAGUUACCUUAGGGAUAACAGCGUAAUUUUUUUUUAGAGUUCAUAUCGACAAAAAAGAUUGC